UUUUCCUUUUCACUGAUAUCUCCUUCUCUUCUUGUUGAAGAUUCAAUCAAGGAUUUCAACUUCAACACUCCCUCUUGAAUCCUUGAUUGAAAACUCCCUCUUUCUAUUUAGGGAUUUGAUUCCCAUUGCUCAUUGUUCAUCUUUAACCGGACUCAGACUUUCUUUUCUUCAUCGGCAAAAGUAACCACUUCUCAUUCUUCUUCUCCGACGAGCAUCAGUCUCUCCGCCGAUCUCCCUCUCCGACAAAACUGAAUCUUCAAGUUCGUCGCUGCUUGUGAAUGGAACCACCGCCUUGGCGCCUCCUCCAUUUUGUACGCCGGCUCUGCUCCCUCUUAAAUUUGAAUCUCUAUGGAUCCAUCUUCAUUUUUCUUUGCGAAUAUUUUUGCCAUCUUUUGGCUGAUUUUCUUCACAAUCUUCCUCUGUUUUGUGAGCUUUCCUCACUUCUCCACCAGCUGCUUCUGCAACCAGCUUCUGCUCACUUUUGUUGAGCUACUUCUUCUUCUCUGAUUUUCCAACUUUGGUGAUGACAACUCUUCUUUAUCCUCAUCUUUCUUCUCCUUCUUCUUUUUCUUCUCUUUCUUCUCAGACCCGAUCUUCUUCUCGUCAUUACCGUGAGCAUCCGUCACGUCUUCAUCGGCUUAAUUCUCCAGCCAGCUUCUGCUCCCUUUCUCUCUUAGGUAAGCAGGCUUUCUUCUUCUGCUUGGUUUCUGCUUUGAUCACCAGCUUGUGCCUUUCAGAUCUUUGAAUCAUCACCUUGAUUUUCU
rnacentral:lncRNA from 1 species